UUUUCUGUGGCUCUGGAUAUGAAGCAGUCUGUUUUGGUUGGACAUGGAUAGGUCCAACACACAAACAGACAUGGAACAUUAAAUCCAUACAGGACAUACACAAUAUAGAAAAUGGAUGGUGUUGAAACCAGAACAAUUUGGAAAAUCCAGAACCUCAGGUUUUAAUCUCGCAGUCCUGAUGCUGACCCAUGGCUGCGCCAAGUGCAAGUUGGGUUCCCAGCAGUGUCUGCAUCCAGCGCAGAUUAGUGGAGGUGAUGGUGGAGGCAGUUUUGGAGCCAGUAGGGGACUCAGCGGCAUUACCAACGGCUGCAUCAGUGAAGUGGGCCUGAAGUGGACUCAAGGUGGCAGUGGAGUUGAGUUUGGGCCAGUGCAGUACUUGGGAGAAUCAGUGGCGUCUGUAUUGUCGAGGUCCAGCAAGUACUAAUAGUGGCAAAGGUGUCAGUGGAGGCAUGAUGGCGCCAAAGAGUGGUGACUUGCAUUCCAGCAGCAUCAGCACAGCAAAGGGGACUCGUGCCUGGCCACUAGGUCUAUAGUCCAAGGCGGAACACUUAACAAGGACUAUAAAGUUGAACAUUUUCUCUAUUUCUUUAUCUUGCUGCCUUUAUAUUCUAUGUCUUGGUUUAUUUUUCUGUGUUUUAAGAUGGCUGCAAAGAACGGUGAUACUAUACAAAUUUUUCACUGCAUUUUGUAACAAACUACACGUGACAAUAAAUAAAUCAAAUCGGAUUAACAGUAUUGCUCACCUGGAUGAGAAUUACUUUCUGCUCUCCAAUAAUCUUGAAAGAUGUUAAAAAGAGUUGAGUGUAUUCACAGCAGAUUAAAGUCAGAAGCAAAGUUGUUCCAACGAUACCAUUUAGGUUUUUGACGAUUGGACUGUUCUGACAUGACAUAGGCCAAACUAAAACUGUCUGUAAAACUGUUGCUGUGUUGUAAAUGAAAAAAAACCUGUUUACAGAUAAUCCAGGAUGAAUUGUACAACUUCUCUGUUGAACCAUUCACCAUGGAAAACAAAGAAUGUUCUGGAAAAGAUUAAAAGCAGCAAACAUGCUCUCUAAAGUGUUGUAAAACGCUAUUACAUUUGUAUCCACGACAGCAUGAUGCUUUUUUUUAAUCAUUUAAUUAAUUUUUAUGUUAUAUUGCUGUUAUCUUGAAUUUUACUGUUUUAUACUGUUAUCUUAAAUCUUGAAAAGAUUUGUAGAAACAUUAUCUAUAAAUUAAUACUUUAAUUUCUAGCAUUCUGUAUUUUAUCUCAAAACAAGAAAGUAGCCAACAAUUAAACAAAACCUGAGAGGUUUGCAUUUC